UGGAUUGGGUGGCAGAUUUAAUUUAAGUAGAGGCAUAGAGAGGGCAGAUACAACUUCUAAAGAGAGGAAUGCUUCAGGAUAUGCCUGUUGUCAUUAGGGAACAAACCCAUCCCAGCAACAGCACCAGCCAAUGGAAAGGAAACUUUGCUGUGAAAAUUGGAAGGAGCACAUGGAACAGCAGGGUGCAGGGCAGGAAGUGGAAAGGCAAUUUUGCCUCUUCUGUGGUACUGUGGUUGUUGGCAACUGGAGAUGCACCCAAUCGCUGAGCAGUAAGGUGGACUUUGCUUCUUCAGCAAGUGUUUCUGACAUGUCUGAGUCACGCUGCCAGUGGAUCGUGUUCUCAAAUACUAUAUAGUCUGUAUCUACACAAUGCAGAUGUGUUGUGGUUCCUCUGGUUUAGGAGGCAGGUUACCUACUGGAUUUACUGUCUGCUUGAGGUGCCUGAUUCACUCCACAAAUCAUGGGGAGAUCCCCAUGACUACAUGAAAGGCAAGAUAGAGAAGAUGGAAAAUGUGGUACAUGUGGUAGCUGAUUGAAACCGUUAAGACGAUGGACUGUACAAAACAUCAUUCAUCCCUAUCUGUGGUUUCUUGAAAACUUUUGACAGACCUCUAUUUCUUUCUAUGCAAACUUGGUUUCAGUGGAGGUGAGUGCCUGUUCCUUUUCUUAUUAAAAAUGAAGUUGGGAGAAAGCAGCAGAUGUCUUGACUUUGCCCAAAGACCAGUGGGAAGACAUGCACAAUCUAUUCAGGUGUCUUAAAACUGAGGCCAAGCCUGUUCCACUUCUGUGGGGCUUUUUUGUUGUGAUUUGCUAACUGUUCUGGUUCAUCCUCAUCCUUCCUCACAUGAACUUUAAAUCUUCUACUUUAUAUUUGAAAGUCUGGAUAGCUAGGUCUCGUCCAUUUUCAGCAGCAUCUACCAGCUCUCAUUCUGUUUGUCUUUGCGAUUUUAUAAUCUGGUUUCUUCACCUCAUACUAGAUUUUAGAUCCUUAAAGUGGUGGCUAAUCAGUGGGUUAAUUAAUUCUGCAUGCUAAGAUGACAAGAAUAUUUUUUUCCACUAAAUUUUUAUGCAAGAAAGAAAAUACACAGGUCUAAAGAAAGGCUAGGAUAAAGAAUAUUUCUGUCCUAACACUUUAGUCAUGUUCUACCCAUGACUGUGGUGACCUGAAUCAGUGAUACAGAUUUCCCUCUCUCUGAUGCCCUCUGGCAUCUGGGUUUCUAUCUUAGAAGUGUAAAUAGGUUUAGAAAUGGCACUUAUGGACAAUACAGUAUGGUUUUCCUUUCAGUUCAGGUGAGUAGCAUGAGAAGAGAACUGGGGCUAGUAGUUUCCUUCUUAUAGUCACAGUCUUGAUGGAAAAAUUGUAAAAACAAACACCUGUAAUUCCUGAACUAUCAGCUAAAGAAUCAAAAAUCAAUAGAUUUGGCAUUGGCAACACAGCAAAUGUAUGAACUAAUCCUUAAUACUUGUGAAAAGGAAUCUCAUGAGCUGUGAGAAACAGGAAUAACAUCAUAUCCGCACUGCUAAUUGGCUGACAGAUUCAUUGUCCUAAUUGGAAAUGUUUACAGAUGUUAAAUCCAAGAGUUGUUAACUGUCAGAGUUAACAACAGGAGGAGCGACUAUGUCAAAUAACCAUCAAACUGACCAGUGUAAUCCAUUUUCCUUCUUGCAGAAAGAUUGCAAGCUAUAAUGUAAUGUACCUCCUGUUUAGUAGGCACUUCAUGGACUAUUGAUUUUAGUUCUAAAAAGAGUUUGCAUGCUGUUUCCAUUUGUCACCUUUGGAUAUCACCAGUACCAAAAAGGUAAAUUGCUCCAACCAUUUAGAUCCAUUAUACUAUUGAAAGAGCAAAGAUGGUUUCUAUAAAAUAAAUUCUUUAGCCUUGCUAAUGCUUUUUCUUCCCACAGUGAAGGACCUUCCUUUUAUCAUGGAAGACAUUGUUAAAGCAUCAUCAGUUCUCAUUUUCAAAGACUAGCUGUCUACAUGGCGUGGAACGAAGGAAUAUGUUAAAACUAUGAGCAACUGCAAAUAAAACUACCACACAGUCUCUGAUUGAGUGAAAGGCCAGUACCUGCUAUGGCAAAUAUGGACACAUCUGUGGCAUAAAAGAUCUGAUUUUUAUUUGACUCCUCCAGGUCAAAAUACCAUUUCAUAUGAGAUUUCAUUUUUCAUUCUGUCUGGAUACAAUGCAAGAGGGCCAGAGAAAGAACAGCAGCCUACAAUCAAUUCUUUCUUGUUAGAGCAUUUCAAAGGCAGAAUUCAAUGAGCUGUACCUAGUGGGAGUAUUGUAACAAACUAUGUGCACAACCACUGCACUUGAGCAUUGGGUAAAUGGUUUCCUGAUUUAUAGUUUCACUUUUCUUCUUAGUCACACAUUAUCAGUCUGAAAGAAGGUACGACAAAAGAUGUUUGAUUGCUCUCCAAUUAAUUAAUGUGCAUCCUUCAGUAAACGUUUAGUUAAUCUGCCUGCUUGAAAGGCAGAAGGAGGGAGAUAGAAUAUUUCUGUUAAUGCUUGCUGGUCUGUGCCUGCUAUCCUGCAAAGAAUAAGAUCUUGUGGUAAAACAUUUUUGAGCUACUGAAUUCAUAUCUAACAGACAGAUUACGACAGCACUUCUGUGUUUGAAUAAACAGCUAGAACACUUCAAUUUAUUUAUUUUUUUUUUUUCCCAGGGGCAGACCAAUUUUCAGCAUAUCCCAUUUCUUUAAUCAGUUCACUAGACUAUAUCAAAGGACAUAACCAGGCAGAUCAGGAGAUAGCUUGAAACUUAACUAUGCUCUUCUUUAUUUAAUUCACUUCUACCACCUCCCCCAAGUUUCAGACUCUUCUUUCCUGCAGCUUACAUGAAUGCAAAAAAGCAGGAGAAAACACAGGACAAGACUGUUCCUCAGCCUAUGUGAGGUAUUGCUCCACUUCUCUUUUCUUCUAGUGCUUUUUUCUGUUAUUUCUGGUGUAACAGGUUUUGAAGCCUUGGAUAUUCAUAUCCUUAUCACAGCAAGAUCACAGCAAAAGAUAAGUAUGCUUGGGUCAAAGCACAAAGGUGCAAGGCAAAGCUGUAAGCAACUAAAGAAGCAACUUAAGUGCUUGUAAAUUACCUGCAGUGUGCUGUGCUUCAUUAAUUUUUGCUCUUUACAUGCCUCUUCUCAUGUCUGGCUUUGAAGCACUGGUGGAAAGUCACAGUGCUGUAAUGAAUAGGACACAGUGCUCUACUUCAUGCACUGCAUGUGUGUCUUUCACAGGAGGGAGAAUUUUGCGAUCCCAUCACUGCGAUCACUGCAAUGAAGAAAUGUUACUAUGUUGGAAUCUUGUGAAACGAGUAACAACACUGACAAGAAAGAAAAAAACUGAUUUUUUUUUUUUCUAGUACUUAAAACUUUGGCAGACUAAAAUCUCAUUUUCUUUUCGUUUCUAAAACAACGCUGAUGUUCUUCUGUCUUUUCCCUCUAUUCAGGUAAGAUUGCUGGUGAUGUAUUGGUGAGGACCACUGACUUCUGGGAUUUUGCCUGGAAGUCUGAAGUUCAUAUAGCUUCCUAUUUUAUGUGCAUUUGUAUUAGCCACUGCUGAAGUACUUAUAAUAGUAAAUGCUAUGUUAUUGGCAAUUAAUUCAGUCUUCAACAAUUAAUUUAGAGUCUUCAGUACAUUGACAUUCUGCCUAGGGAAGGUUGUUUUUCCUAAGUAAACCGAAAAGUAAAGUCUCAGCAUUCCACAAGCUGUGCACCCUGCUAGAGCUGUUAAAAUAGGCACCAUAACAAAGUUGUUGUGAAAACUAGAAGCUUAGUGAGCACCUGACUUUUUUGUAAACAGUUUCUUCAUCAAACAGGGGAGCUGACCUACUUUGCAUGUGACCUUUUGGCAGGAUAGCACCUUCCAGUGGAACCACACCAGCCACCGAAGAACCUUAGCAAGAACCUCAUAUUACACAGUGCAUAUAUAGCAUGAAAUUCUAGUAUGAAUAGCAAUUCUGAGAAUAGGCAGGCACUAAAACAUUGUUUCAUCAGUUCUUGUUUAGGCCUGAAUGUGGCAUAAAUAUGUCUGCUUCUGGAUAGAGAUAUAGUAAAGAAGUUAUGAACAAAUUACACCUGUAGACAGAAAAAUUCAAGUACAUAUCCCUAAGGACAAAGCCAUAGAGGCCCAGGUCUCUGUGUUACAGGAAUCACCUUCUGAAUCUGAAAUAGCUGAGGAAGUAGAAGACAUGGUAAUGCUAUUGUUAUGAGCUGGAGGAACCUCAGGAUGAUCAAGGUGGACCAAAUGUGUGAUUGUACAACUGUAGCUGAACUCCAGACUGGUCAAGAAAAAAUAUUCAAACUGUUUGUGCAUGAAAGGCUGCAUAGUGCCCUGGGAGUUCUGGCACAGAGACAGAUUAUUGAGAGCACUGGAACUACUAAAAAGAAAAAAAGUCAACAUAUGGAAUGAUUCAAAAUUUACAUUUGAAGUAGUGCAUGCACGUAGAGUAAUACAGAAGGAAAGAGGAUUGCUAUCCUACCAGGGAUCACAAAUGAAGCAUGGACCCAUUAUUAUAGAAUUACUGGAAAGUGUACUGCCUCCUCAGAAAGUUGCCAUAAUGCAUUGUAAAGCACAUCAGUUCAAUAACACUCCAGUGAAUUACAGCAAUUGAUUUGCCAAUAGAGCUGCUGAAGUAGCCAUGGAAGGAACUCUUAUUACUAAUCGCGGACAAAUAUAAAUAAUUAGGAAAAGAAACCCCAGAUUACCAAGCUAAAGAUGAGAGACUGGCAACAUUAUGAAAAGUGGUUAAAGAUGGCAAAGUGUGGUAGGUAGCUCCAGAUAAAUAGACAAUUAUCCCUCAAUCUCUUAUGAAUAAGACUGGCAGAAGAUUAUCAUUGACGCACUGGGGAAUAGAGGCAACCACCAGAAGUAUGAGACACCAAGUUUAAGUGUGUGAAUGGCAGGAAUCAUAGUGUUGUGAAAAGAUGCGAUCUGCGUUUGAAAAACAAUCCCCAUCCACCUAAACCUCCACUCAGAACAGCUAAGAAAGGAAAGCAUCCAGGAGAUUAUCAGCAGAUGGAUUUUUGUGGAUUGCUGCGGUGAUGUAUGUUGUACGUGCACGCUUACCGCUGGAUGGACCUGUACACUGGUACCAACCUGGAGAUUGGGUGUACCCGACAACAUAGCUAGAUGAAGAGAAGUGGAGAGGACCCUUCCCGAUCUAAUUCACCAUCCACGCAGCAGUCAGACUCAAUGGAGUCAGCCUAUGUAUUCAUUACAGUAGAGUCAAGCCACCUGCAACAUCAGGAUAGACUGUCAAGAAAGAAGGACCAUUGCAUUUGCAAUUAACUCAGGCUGUAUAAGACUAGGUUCUAUGUUUCUUAUAAUGAUAAGUAAUGCAUUUAUUUAAAGUGAGGGAAUUAAUAUGAAAGUGAAAAUAUGGUUUUAACAUUAAUACAAGGAUUUGGUGGGAUGUGCAAUGUCACUAGCAUCUGCAUAGUGGUAAUUAUAAGAGGUAGAGGACUCUGUAGAAGAUGUAUUAAAAGAUAUUUUGAAAGAAAUAUGUGAAAGUAAUUAGAAGAACUAACUACUUCCCAAGGGGUCAAUUGAUACCUGGCAAUUAAUUAACCACAGGCCCCUUACAAGGACCCCAUACUAACACAGAGCAUGCAUAAUAUUAGAUUUUAAUAUAGCAAUUCUUGAAAUAGGCAGGCACUCCAUGGAAAAUACAUGAAUAUUCACACAUGUUCAAUAUAUAUAAUCUGCAUACUUUUAGUUCCUGGCUAUGCACGCUAGGUGGAUCCCGUGCAUCUGGUCACAAUAACAAAUGCCUGCUUUUUAAUGCUACAUUAGCAUUAAUGAGUUUUAUUCCUGAUUUCAGUGACAGAACUGGUGUUAUUAAUUGCCUUCCCUUCCCCUCCCCUCCCCCCCCCCAAACAAGUAUGAGGGCAAGACAUUACGUGGAUAUAUAAGGCAUCUUUAGAUAUGCAGUGAGACAACUCAGACACUAGGCAAAACUAUCAUCUCUGGAUGCUGUCUGUGCCUCCCAUUUUAUUUAAGUAUCUUUAAGCUGCUGCCAUGAACACAGGAUCUCUGUUUUCAGCUGGCAGGAGCUGACACAGCAGAAAUAGCUAUCAAAUAUGAUAGAGUUUCUCCCUUCUAAUGCUCCUUCUUGUACCAUUCUUAGAACAGUUUAGAGUACCAAUAGAAGAAAUGAAGACAAACAGACAUCAAAGACUCUGCACAAGGUCAGUCAGCACCGAGAAGAGCCAUCCAUCCUUCUAUAUCUGAUGCAAAGUGCCACAUCUUAGCUCUGUGUUCUUUUUCAAAAACUACUGGCAUUUGAAGAGGUUUUAAAACACCAGUACAUUAUUUGAAUAAUUGUGCUUAUAUCCAGAGUAGGGUUCAAGGCAUGUAUGCCACCCAAAACAACUGGUCUGUCCCAGAGAAAGAGAAAUAGUACACUUCUGAAACAGGGAAGAAAAGUCUGACUUCCACUAACUUCAGUCUUCCUUUGCAAGUGGAACUUCCCACUGAGAAUCUAAACAUGCAUCAGAUGUCUAGAAACAGUAAAUCAUUUAAGGUUGUAACCGGGAAAAUAGUUCAGCAACCCUUAGGAACUAUUACAUUUUCACAUUAUUGCCAUUAAAAAAAUCCACAUCUUCUCAGUGUUUGUAUAAGCAAAGUGGUUUGCCUCAGGUGAAUGCAGUUCCACUGAAGAAUGUGGUACCCACUCUGUGCUGGUGCUCUUUGUUCCAAGGCGUGCAACUCUGCCAAUACUGCAGAAAUUUGAGAAUGCUUUUCUCUGAGGCAGUAGUGUUUAAAAUUUCACCCCAUCCAUUAGAUUGCUCCAGAAUUAGCCUUGUAAGUACAUCCGAGUUCUAUGGCAUAGUGUUGCAGUAAAAGCCAGUCUCUGAGAUGAGGGACUCUGACAGUUUAUUUAUAGUUCAGAAGGUCAAACAGUUGCCUUAAUUGGAAAACAUCGCUCACCAGUCUCUGAGCAUAUUGAUGUACUUUGCAUUCGAUGCCAUUAGUUACUUGUGUGAGUUUCUAAUAUCACCUUUGUUAAUAAGAUACAUUCUCCAUAAUGGGCUGCCUGCAGGUUCCAAGAGCCACUUAUAUGCUAAGUUUGACAAGUUUGAUGAUGCUAAACCCAUGCUGAAAGCAAUAGCUGUCAGAACUGUACCUGGGUGCCAGGCAGAAGUCUGUGACCUUCAAACUGUUUUGGGAUGAGAUGUGCUAAAUCCCAGUUGUAUGGUAUGUGACCAGGCAAAGGUAUUUCUUCAAAUUUGUCUUGAAUUCCUGCCAGAAAAGUUGUAUAUAAACCACACAGCCAAAGUUUGAUAGACUUGGCUUGAAGUAGAAGGAAGGUGAAAUAAAGUCACAGAAUCACAGAAUUGCAGGGGUUGGAAGGGACCUCAAGAGAUCAUUGAAUGCAGCCCCCUGCCAAAGCAGGUGCCCUGCAACAGGUCACACAGGUUGGUGUCCUUACAAGUCUUGAAUAUCUCCAGAGAAGGAGAAGUCAAAGUGCUCCCAACAAGCGCAAAUAAAAGCAUACAAUAGCAAACACACUGAGUGAUUUGGCCUAUGGAUCUCUCAUCCAUACAGCUGCAGACUAGAAAAAAAGAAAUCCUCUCCUCAAAGCAAAGGAAACUAUCUUAUUAAGUCUAAAAAUUCCCUCUUGGUUUUACUUCUGCUGUUCCCAACCUCUCCCUUGCCUGCGGUUGUUGCUGAAAAUGACCUUGUCAAAUUUUACAUGUAGCACGGCCCAGUAGACACGUGAUCUUAACCAUAGGAAGAAGGCAGAAUGUUAAUAUUCAUUGUUUGAAUUUAUGUAGGAAAGGAGCAAGAAAUAGGAUUAAGAUGGAGGUGCCUAAUGCUAGGACUCCUCCAAGUUUGUCUGGAAUUGAGCUCAGGAUGACAUACACAAAUAGGAAUCACCCCUCUAGUUUGAUGUGAGGGGGUGGGAUUAGUGAGGUUGCUGAAGUUUUAUGGGUCCCUUAAGAGUUUAGGGGAGAAUAAGGCUAAUAUUAGGAAGGGAUUUAUAAAGGCAUGGGUUGAGACGUGAAGGAAAGCUAGCUGUGAGAGAUCAAGUCCAAUGAUGGCUAUUACUAAGCUUAGCUGGCGGAAGGUGGAGAAAGGAAUGAUUUUUUUUUAUGCUGUUUUGAGUGAGGGCACCUGGUGGCAGAGGGCUGAGAGUGCACCUAAACACGGGCAUAUGGCUAGGGCUGUUUUGUUAGGGGUUGGAAGGGGAUGAGUAUGAAUAAGCAAGAAGAUUCUGGUUACUACUAUUGCAGUAGAGUGGAAACUAGGAUUUACACUUCUGUUGCUGCAAGGAGUCAAGGGUCAGCCAAAUUGGGCUGACCUUCCUGUAGCAGCUAGAAUUAAGCCCAGGAGGGGGAGAGUACGUGUUUGGUGGGGUAGAUUGUUUGUUGAGUUUCUCAAGCAUUUAGUGUGGAGACUAGUGAUGCCAUACUCGAGAUUAAACCAAUAUCUCACAUGAAUCUAACUCCUCCCUACCAUUUUGCCUAUCCAAAACAAAUUAUGAAUGAAUACAUGGCUAUAUCCUCAUCCUUACAUGAGGCCUACAACCCCUCCAAGACUUAAAGCCACAUGGUGACUACUAGCCAUUUGACAAACAUGGCACUGCCCUCUACAACAAACCUAAAAGAGGAACUAACCAUUGUAAUUGUGCUGUUUCACUGAUUUGCCUUCACAAUUGUUCUAACUGGAAUUUCAGCCCUGCUGAGUGCCACUUAUGCUUUAUAUAUAUUACUAGUAACCCAAUGAAGCACCCUACCAGCCCACAUCACUUCCAUCCAAAACUCUAUCAUUUAUCAUAAGCUUCAUAAAUCCCCCUAACCUUAAAAAUAGACCUACACUCAAUACUAUUUUUUCCAAUUGCGUAAUUUGUAACUUGAUCUAUCCUGGAAUUUGUAACAUGAUGCAUAGCCUCAGAACCAAGUAUCAAAUUCUUCACCUGUCUUCCUUACUUCCUAAUUGCCAUACUAAUGCUAACCAUUGCAAACAGCAUAUACCUUUUUUUGUAAGCUGAGAGAAAUUAUGUCAUUCCUAUUUAUUGGCUAAUGACAACAACAAGCCAAAGCUAACACAGCAGCUUUACAAGUUGUAAUCUACUACCAGAUUGGAGAUAUAUAAGGCAACGUAGUGUAACACAAAAUAAAGAUAAGCAUGUGAUUUUUUAACAUUUGAAUUCAGUACUGUGCAGUACGAAAGUAUAAAGGAUCUAAGUAGAGUAAAUCAAUUUAAGAAGGUAAGUGUUUUUAGUUAGUUUAAAAUGGCAGGCUGCAGUAUUUAUUUGAUAAAAAGUUAUUUGAAGUAUUUGACAGAAAGUCAUAGAAAUAAAAAAGCUAGGCAUAACUGUUUUUAAAACAGCAUAACUAUAUAAAAUGGGAAGAAGGGAGACUGAGAUUGUACUGUUAACAUUUUCAUGAAAAAACAAAAUGCCAAAAUUAAACAAGCAAACUCUAGUGGAGGAAAUAGAAACCCUAUUUUCUGAAGACUGUGCAGUGAGACAUAAUGGUUGUAUAACUUCUGAAAGUUUAUAAUUUAGUGAUGCAGGCUCAGAAUAAGAGAAUUCAAUAGCAAAAUGAGUCAACACUUAAACCUAAAUUGUAAUUUAUAAGAGAGUCUCUUCUCACACAAAUCAAAUUUGGAAGCAGAAUAAUGUCUUCUGAUAGCGAGGCAGUAUUGCUGAAUGUGCUGGGUGGCAGUUUGCAACACACAGUCAUUUGAAAUUACAUUUAUAAAAUAAAUGUUCAAUUCAGAACAA